UCCUGAGAAUGAGAUGAAAAAAAGUCAGUAUGUUCCUCUUAAGAUGAUCAAGGGUUCUGGGUUAAGGUGAAAAUGAAGAUUUUGGUUAUGGUCAAGUACUCUUCAUAUGUGUUAAACACAAGGUUUCUGAAACCAGCUAUGCUCAAAGCACGGUAGGAUCUCUCCCCAUGUGUGUAAGAAUACAUACAGAGGCCAUGAGAGAGAAAAAUUGGCAGCCAAGCAGCACGCCUGGCAGCAUCAGCAGAUGCUUCAAUCUUGUUUCUCAGACUCCUGCAGUUACAGAAUUGCCAAAAAUUGCAUCCAGAAAAUCAACAUGCUUCAAGUUUAAUACAUCUAUUAGUAUGGAUACUAUAGGAGAAGAAAAAUGAACAGGAAACCAACCUGGCACCAGGAAGCCAACCACUAAGCCCGAUAACAGCUCUCAAAUUAACAGGAAAAGGACUUCCAUUUCCGUAUUUUCCCUGUGCAAAGCAAGUUGCAGAGUAGAGUGCAGCUGCUGCCCCCAUACUGAAGCCUCCAACAGCAACUUUAACUAUAUCCAGCAAUAAAUUUAGCCCAAAAAAGGAGUUAGAUGCGAAACAUGGUACUGAAAUGUACCUGCUUUAGGAAAAAGUUAAAGCACACAGUUUGGACAAGGGAAUUUAGUGGUGGAGAAUAUUACUGUUGGCAGGUUCUGCAGACAACAGAUUAGCAAUAUGUGCUGCUGAGGCAUCUAAACCUUCUAUGUCAUCAGGUCCUUCAUCCGAAAGUUCCCCCGUAUCAAACCCUGGUAUUGAUUGAAACACAGCAGUGCAGGGGAAUCCACCAAGUGAGGUCACAUGGCGCGUGGGAGCAGUAGGACAUAUCCAUUUUAUCUGCACAGGAAAGUUCCAUUUCAGGUUGUAGAUAUCAACAUUGAUAGCAGCAUAUCGUUGACCAUGAGUAUUAAGACUUACAUUUGGAAGUGGGAGACUCUCCAACAUCUGUGACCAACUGCAGAAGAUAAAAAGUUCGCAGAAAGGUGAUGUGGGGGGCAGCCGUUACUUACCACAAAGUACUGCGAGCACACAGGGCACUCAUGUGGCUUGCCCUUCUCUAGCCAGAACCAAACAACAUCAUGCUCAUCCUCUGCGAAUCAUCAUUUGUGCAGGGA